CAGAAAGACUGCGAUCAUUGAUCCUUCCACAGAAAGAUUUCCCUACUGAGGGAUUGAGGCCAACGUUAAUGUCCAGGAGGAUAUUGAUUGGAUACAAAGGUCUAUGAUAGAUGUAGGUUGCGUGCCAUUUAGGAUGCUAUUCAGGAUGACAUUUGUAAUUCAUAUGUCGUGUGAAUUACAUAUAAAAGCUACAAAACGUCAUUCUCCAUAUGAAAUGCGGAUGGUAUUUGCUAUGGAAAUGAUCUACUGUAUGAAGUAUGCAUUCAGCAUUCUCUUAUGGAAGGUUCUUCAGUAAUCUGUCACAGCAUUCUCUUAAGAGAGGUUCUCCAGGAAUCUAUCACAACAUUCUCUUACGGGAGGUUCUCCAGGAAGCUAUCAGAACAUUCUCUUACAGAAGGUUCUUCCAGGGAAUCUGUCACAACAUUCUCUUACGGAAGGUUCUUCCAGGGAAUCUGUCACAACAUUCUCUUACGGAAGGUUCUUCCAGGGAAUCUGUCACAACAUUCUCUUACGGAAGGUUCUUCCAGGGAAUCUGUCACAACAUUCUCUUACGGAAGGUUCUUCCAGGGAAUCUGUCACAACAUUCUCUUACGGAAGGUUCUUCCAGGGAAUCUGUCACAACAUUCUCUUACGGAAGGUUCUUCCAGGGAAUCUGUCACAACAUUCUCUUACGGAAGGUUCUUCCAGGGAAUCUGUCACAACAUUCUCUUACGGAAGGUUCUUCCAGGGAAUCUGUCACAACAUUCUUUUACGGAAGGUUCUUCCAGGGAAUCUGUCACAACAUUCUCUUACGGAAGGUUCUUCCAGGGAAUCUGUCACAACAUUCUCUUACGGAAGGUUCUUCCAGGGAAUCUGUCACAACAUUCUUUUACGGAAGGUUCUUCCAGGGAAUCUGUCACAACAUUCUCUUACGGAAGGUUCAAUGGUUUUUCAUAUUUAAACAAGAGAGUUUCUUUGUUUUAAACACAAUGGAUAUUUCUUUGCAUGUAGAGAGUCUAGGAUUAUGAAGGUAUAUACAUUAAAUGAAUGUACAGUGACCUCACAUAGAUAGGAAAACUACAGUAGAGCUAACAAUGCAGUAAAAAUAUAUCUAAAUGUUCAGACAGAAAGUUCAACGAUUAGAGAGAACAACCUCGCUCUACAGACCAGGGUGAUAUGUUACAUACCGCUGUGAACAGGACCUCGUUGGGUUGGCAAAUGGACUUCAUGACAGAUGGGUAUUUUAACGGGCUAACAAGUAUUGGUAGUCGCUGCUGUCAUUAACAACACUGGACCUAUGUUUAAACUAAUGUGUCUAAAAUGGCAUCCUAUUCCCUACAUAGUGCACUACUGUAGACCAGAACCCUAUUCCCUACAUAGUGCACUACUAUAGACCAGAGCCCUAUUCCCUAUAUAGUGCACUACUAUAGACCAGAGCCCUAUUCCCUAUAUAGUGCACUACUAUAGACCAGAGCCCUAUUCCCUAUAUAGUGCACUACUAUAGACCAGAGCCCUAUUCCCUAUAUAGUGCACUACUAUAGACCAGAGCCCUAUUCCCUAUAUAGUGCACUACUAUAGACCAGAGCCCUAUUCCCUAUAUAGUGCACUACUAUAGACCAGAGCCCUAUUCCCUAUAUAGUGCACUACUAUAGACCAGAGCCCUAUUCCCUAUAUAGUGCACUACUAUAGACCAGAGCCCUAUUCCCUAUAUAGUGCACUACUAUAGACCAGAGCCCUAUUCCCUAUAUAGUGCACUACUAUAGACCAGAGCCCUAUUCCCUAUAUAGUGCACUACUAUAGACCAGAGCCC